UUCAGAUUUGGGGCAAAGAAAGGACCUGGUCCGAUUGCCAUGGCACAUCUCCAGCGUAGCUUUCUCUGCUAGGCGUCAACUCAAACUUUCUCCUUCCCCCGUUUCAAGUCAAGAAGGAACAGGAAAAUGUCUUUGUAGGUGGGGAGAAAAUUCAGGUAUUAUUUAUUCUUUUUUUCUCCAAAUUUAUUAAAUAAUUUGUCUAAAGCAUUCAAGGAAAAAUUUACCUGAUUGCAAUAUCCUUACAUUUUCCCCAUUAAACUACCCUCUUUCUUCUUAGUAUAUGACAAAUUUAAAUUGUGCCUCUUUUUAACCAAGGACUAGAUCUGUGGUAGGUCAUAGAAAUGGUAGAAGGGGAAUAAUUUAUAUUGUCAAU
rnacentral:lncRNA from 1 species